UUAAGUUAUUAAGGGCGCACGGUGGAUGCCUUGGCACUAGAAGCCGAUGAAGGACGUUACUAACGACGAUAUGCUUUGGGGAGCUGUAAGUAAGCUUUGAUCCAGAGAUUUCCGAAUGGGGAAACCCAGCAUGAGUUAUGUCAUGUUAUCGAUAUGUGAAUACAUAGCAUAUCAGAAGGCACACCCGGAGAACUGAAACAUCUUAGUACCCGGAGGAAGAGAAAGAAAAUUCGAUUCCCUUAGUAGCGGCGAGCGAAACGGGAAGAGCCCAAACCAACAAGCUUGCUUGUUGGGGUUGUAGGACACUCUAUACGGAGUUACAAAGGACGACAUUAGACGAAUCAUCUGGAAAGAUGAAUCAAAGAAGGUAAUAAUCCUGUAGUCGAAAAUGUUGUCUCUCUUGAGUGGAUCCUGAGUACGACGGAGCACGUGAAAUUCCGUCGGAAUCUGGGAGGACCAUCUCCUAAGGCUAAAUACUCUCUAGUGACCGAUAGUGAACCAGUACCGUGAGGGAAAGGUGAAAAGCACCCCGGAAGGGGAGUGAAAUAGAACCUGAAACCGUGUGCUUACAAGUAGUCAGAGCCCGUUAAUGGGUGAUGGCGUGCCUUUUGUAGAAUGAACCGGCGAGUUACGAUUUGAUGCAAGGUUAAGCAGUAAAUGUGGAGCCGUAGCGAAAGCGAGUCUGAAUAGGGCGUUUAGUAUUUGGUCGUAGACCCGAAACCAGGUGAUCUACCCUUGGUCAGGUUGAAGUUCAGGUAACACUGAAUGGAGGACCGAACCGACUUACGUUGAAAAGUGAGCGGAUGAACUGAGGGUAGCGGAGAAAUUCCAAUCGAACCUGGAGAUAGCUGGUUCUCUCCGAAAUAGCUUUAGGGCUAGCCUCAAGUGAUGAUUAUUGGAGGUAGAGCACUGUUUGGACGAGGGGCCCCUCUCGGGUUACCGAAUUCAGACAAACUCCGAAUGCCAAUUAAUUUAACUUGGGAGUCAGAACAUGGGUGAUAAGGUCCGUGUUCGAAAGGGAAACAGCCCAGACCACCAGCUAAGGUCCCAAAAUAUAUGUUAAGUGGAAAAGGAUGUGGCGUUGCCCAGACAACUAGGAUGUUGGCUUAGAAGCAGCCAUCAUUUAAAGAGUGCGUAAUAGCUCACUAGUCGAGUGACACUGCGCCGAAAAUGUACCGGGGCUAAACAUAUUACCGAAGCUGUGGAUUGUCCUUUGGACAAUGGUAGGAGAGCGUUCUAAGGGCGUUGAAGCAUGAUCGUAAGGACAUGUGGAGCGCUUAGAAGUGAGAAUGCCGGUGUGAGUAGCGAAAGACGGGUGAGAAUCCCGUCCACCGAUUGACUAAGGUUUCCAGAGGAAGGCUCGUCCGCUCUGGGUUAGUCGGGUCCUAAGCUGAGGCCGACAGGCGUAGGCGAUGGAUAACAGGUUGAUAUUCCUGUACCACCUAUAAUCGUUUUAAUCGAUGGGGGGACGCAGUAGGAUAGGCGAAGCGUGCGAUUGGAUUGCACGUCUAAGCAGUAAGGCUGAGUAUUAGGCAAAUCCGGUACUCGUUAAGGCUGAGCUGUGAUGGGGAGAAGACAUUGUGUCUUCGAGUCGUUGAUUUCACACUGCCGAGAAAAGCCUCUAGAUAGAAAAUAGGUGCCCGUACCGCAAACCGACACAGGUAGUCAAGAUGAGAAUUCUAAGGUGAGCGAGCGAACUCUCGUUAAGGAACUCGGCAAAAUGACCCCGUAACUUCGGGAGAAGGGGUGCUCUUUAGGGUUAACGCCCAGAAGAGCCGCAGUGAAUAGGCCCAAGCGACUGUUUAUCAAAAACACAGGUCUCUGCUAAACCGUAAGGUGAUGUAUAGGGGCUGACGCCUGCCCGGUGCUGGAAGGUUAAGAGGAGUGGUUAGCUUCUGCGAAGCUACGAAUCGAAGCCCCAGUAAACGGCGGCCGUAACUAUAACGGUCCUAAGGUAGCGAAAUUCCUUGUCGGGUAAGUUCCGACCCGCACGAAAGGCGUAACGAUUUGGGCACUGUCUCAACGAGAGACUCGGUGAAAUCAUAGUACCUGUGAAGAUGCAGGUUACCCGCGACAGGACGGAAAGACCCCGUGGAGCUUUACUGUAGCCUGAUAUUGAAAUUCGGCACAGCUUGUACAGGAUAGGUAGGAGCCUUUGAAACGUGAGCGCUAGCUUACGUGGAGGCGCUGGUGGGAUACUACCCUAGCUGUGUUGGCUUUCUAACCCGCACCACUUAUCGUGGUGGGAGACAGUGUCAGGCGGGCAGUUUGACUGGGGCGGUCGCCUCCUAAAAGGUAACGGAGGCGCUCAAAGGUUCCCUCAGAAUGGUUGGAAAUCAUUCAUAGAGUGUAAAGGCAUAAGGGAGCUUGACUGCGAGACCUACAAGUCGAGCAGGGUCGAAAGACGGACUUAGUGAUCCGGUGGUUCCGCAUGGAAGGGCCAUCGCUCAACGGAUAAAAGCUACCCCGGGGAUAACAGGCUUAUCUCCCCCAAGAGUUCACAUCGACGGGGAGGUUUGGCACCUCGAUGUCGGCUCAUCGCAUCCUGGGGCUGUAGUCGGUCCCAAGGGUUGGGCUGUUCGCCCAUUAAAGCGGUACGCGAGCUGGGUUCAGAACGUCGUGAGACAGUUCGGU
rnacentral:rRNA from 1 species